ACACGACUACAUUAGAUACCCGUGUACGUCCCAGCCCUAAACGAUGCGCGUUAGGUGUAUCGGUGACCACGAGUCACCGAGGUGCCGAAGGGAAACCGUGAAACGUGCCGCCGUGGGAAGUACGGUCGCAAGGCUAGAAAACUUAAAGGAAUUGGCGGGGGAGCACAACAACGGGUGGAGCUUGCGGUUUAAUUGGAUUCAACGCCGGAAAUCUUACCGGGACCGACAGCAACAUGAAGGCCAAGCUGAAGACUUUGCCGGAUUAGCUG
rnacentral:rRNA from 1 species